GGGUUGUGAGGUUAAGCGACUAAGCGUACACGGUGGAUGCCCUGGCAGUCAGAGGCGAUGAAGGACGUGCUAAUCUGCGAAAAGCGUCGGUAAGGUGAUAUGAACCGUUAUAACCGGCGAUGUCCGAAUGGGGAAACCCAGUGCAAUUCGUUGCACUAUCGUUAACUGAAUACAUAGGUUAACGAGGCGAACCGGGGGAACUGAAACAUCUAAGUACCCCGAGGAAAAGAAAUCAACCGAGAUUCCCCCAGUAGCGGCGAGCGAACGGGGAGCAGCCCAGAGUCUGAAUCAGCUUGUGUGUUAGUGGAACGGUCUGGAAAGUCCGACGGUACAGGGUGAUAGUCCCGUACACCAAAAUGCACAGGCUGUGAACUCGAAGAGUAGGGCGGGACACGUGGUAUCCUGUCUGAAUAUGGGGGGACCAUCCUCCAAGGCUAAAUACUCCUGACUGACCGAUAGUGAACCAGUACCGUGAGGGAAAGGCGAAAAGAACCCCGGCGAGGGGAGUGAAAAAGAACCUGAAACCGUGUACGUACAAGCAGUGGGAGCACCUUCGGGUGUGACUGCGUACCUUUUGUAUAAUGGGUCAGCGACUUAUAUUCUGUAGCAAGGUUAACCGUAUAGGGGAGCCGCAGGGAAACCGAGUCUUAACUGGGCGUUAAGUUGCAGGGUAUAGACCCGAAACCCGGUGAUCUAGCCAUGGGCAGGUUGAAGGUUGGGUAACACUAACUGGAGGACCGAACCGACUAAUGUUGAAAAAUUAGCGGAUGACUUGUGGCUGGGGGUGAAAGGCCAAUCAAACCGGGAGAUAGCUGGUUCUCCCCGAAAGCUAUUUAGGUAGCGCCUCGUGAACUCAUCUUCGGGGGUAGAGCACUGUUUCGGCUAGGGGGUCAUCCCGACUUACCAACCCGAUGCAAACUACGAAUACCGAAGAAUGUUAUCACGGGAGACACACGGCGGGUGCUAACGUCCGUCGUGAAGAGGGAAACAACCCAGACCGCCAGCUAAGGUCCCAAAGUCAUGGUUAAGUGGGAAACGAUGUGGGAAGGCACAGACAGCCAGGAUGUUGGCUUAGAAGCAGCCAUCAUUUAAAGAAAGCGUAAUAGCUCACUGGUCGAGUCGGCCUGCGCGGAAGAUGUAACGGGGCUAAACCAUGCACCGAAGCUGCGGCAGCGACACUAUGUGUUGUUGGGUAGGGGAGCGUUCUGUAAGCCUGCGAAGGUGUGCUGUGAGGCAUGCUGGAGGUAUCAGAAGUGCGAAUGCUGACAUAAGUAACGAUAAAGCGGGUGAAAAGCCCGCUCGCCGGAAGACCAAGGGUUCCUGUCCAACGUUAAUCGGGGCAGGGUGAGUCGACCCCUAAGGCGAGGCCGAAAGGCGUAGUCGAUGGGAAACAGGUUAAUAUUCCUGUACUUGGUGUUACUGCGAAGGGGGGACGGAGAAGGCUAUGUUAGCCGGGCGACGGUUGUCCCGGUUUAAGCAUGUAGGCUGAUUAUCCAGGCAAAUCCGGAUAAUCAAGGCUGAGGUGUGAUGACGAGGCACUACGGUGCUGAAGUAACAAAUGCCCUGCUUCCAGGAAAAGCCUCUAAGCAUCAGGUAACAUCAAAUCGUACCCCAAACCGACACAGGUGGUCAGGUAGAGAAUACCAAGGCGCUUGAGAGAACUCGGGUGAAGGAACUAGGCAAAAUGGUGCCGUAACUUCGGGAGAAGGCACGCUGGUGUGUAGGUGAAGUCCCUGCGGAUGGAGCUGAGACCAGUCGAAGAUACCAGCUGGCUGCAACUGUUUAUUAAAAACACAGCACUGUGCAAACACGAAAGUGGACGUAUACGGUGUGACGCCUGCCCGGUGCCGGAAGGUUAAUUGAUGGGGUUAUCCGUAAGGAGAAGCUCUUGAUCGAAGCCCCGGUAAACGGCGGCCGUAACUAUAACGGUCCUAAGGUAGCGAAAUUCCUUGUCGGGUAAGUUCCGACCUGCACGAAUGGCGUAAUGAUGGCCAGGCUGUCUCCACCCGAGACUCAGUGAAAUUGAACUCGCUGUGAAGAUGCAGUGUACCCGCGGCAAGACGGAAAGACCCCGUGAACCUUUACUAUAGCUUGACACUGAACAUUGAGCCUUGAUGUGUAGGAUAGGUGGGAGGCUUUGAAGCGUGGACGCCAGUCUGCGUGGAGCCAACCUUGAAAUACCACCCUUUAAUGUUUGAUGUUCUAACGUUGGCCCCUGACCGGGGUUGCGGACAGUGUCUGGUGGGUAGUUUGACUGGGGCGGUCUCCUCCCAAAGCGUAACGGAGGAGCACGAAGGUUAGCUAAUCCUGGUCGGACAUCAGGAGGUUAGUGCAAUGGCAUAAGCUAGCUUGACUGCGAGCGUGACGGCGCGAGCAGGUGCGAAAGCAGGUCAUAGUGAUCCGGUGGUUCUGAAUGGAAGGGCCAUCGCUCAACGGAUAAAAGGUACUCCGGGGAUAACAGGCUGAUACCGCCCAAGAGUUCAUAUCGACGGCGGUGUUUGGCACCUCGAUGUCGGCUCAUCACAUCCUGGGGCUGAAGUAGGUCCCAAGGGUAUGGCUGUUCGCCAUUUAAAGUGGUACGCGAGCUGGGUUUAGAACGUCGUGAGACAGUUCGGUCCCUAUCUGCCGUGGGCGCUGGAGAAUUGAGGGGGGCUGCUCCUAGUACGAGAGGACCGGAGUGGACGCAUCACUGGUGUUCGGGUUGUCAUGCCAAUGGCACUGCCCGGUAGCUAAAUGCGGAAGAGAUAAGUGCUGAAAGCAUCUAAGCACGAAACUUGCCCCGAGAUGAGUUCUCCCUGAGACUUUAAGUCUCCUGAAGGAACGUUGAAGACGACGACGUUGAUAGGCCGGGUGUGUAAGCGCAGCGAUGCGUUGAGCUAACCGGUACUAAUGAACCGUGAGGCUUAACCUUACAACGCCGAAG
rnacentral:rRNA from 1 species